rnacentral:rRNA from 1 species
CCUACGGGCGGCAGCAGUGGGGAAUAUUGGGCAAUGGGCGCAAGCCUGACCCAGCAACGCCGCGUGAAGGAAGAAGGCUUUCGGGUUGUAAACUUCUUUUAAGAGGGAAGAGCAGAAGACGGUACCUCUUGAAUAAGCCACGGCUCACUACGUGCCAGCAGCCGCGGUAAUACGGAGGUGGCACGGGUUGUCCGGAUUUACUGGGUGUAAAGGGCGUGCAUCCGGGAAGACUAGUCAGAUGGGAACACCCAGGGCUUAACCGCCGAACUGCAGUUGAAACUGGUUGUCUUGAGUGCCGGAGAGGUCAGCGGAAUUCCUGGUGUAGCGGUGAAAUGCGUAGAUAUAAGGAAGAACACCAGUGGCGAAGGCGGAUGACUGGACGGCAACUGACGGUGAGGCGCGAAAGCGUGGGGAGCAAACAGGAUUAGAUACCCUGGUAGUC